CACAGAGGACUCACCAUGGAGUUGGGGCUGAGCUGGGUUUUCCUUGUUGCUAUUUUAGAAGGUGUCCAGUGUGACGUGCAGCUGGUGGAGUCUGGGGGAGGCUUGGUACAGCCUGGGGGGUCCCUGAGACUCUCCUGUGCAGCCUCUGGAUUCACCUUCAGUAACUAUGGCAUGAGCUGGGUCCGCCAGGCUCCAGGGAAGGGGCUGGAGUGGGUCUCAUCCAUUAGUAGUAGUAGUAGUUACAUAUACUACGCAGACUCCGUGAAGGGCCGAUUCACCAUCUCCAGAGACAACGCCAAGAACUCGCUGUAUCUGCAAAUGAACAGCCUGAAAACCGAGGACACGGCCGUGUAUUACUGAUGGACAUUCUGCCAUUGUGAUUACUACGGUAUGGGAUUCUGGGGCCAAGGGACCACGGUCACCGUCUCCUCAG